GGCCUACGGGAGGCAGCAGUGGGGGAUAUUGCACAAUGGGGGGAACCCUGAUGCAGCGACGCCGCGUGGGUGAAGGAGCGUUUCGGCGCGUAAAGCCCUAUCGGCAGGGAAGAAGGAGGACGGUACCUGACUAAGAAGCCCCGGCUAACUACGUGCCAGCAGCCGCGGUAAUACGUAGGGGGCAAGCGUUAUCCGGAUUUACUGGGUGUAAAGGGAGCGUAGACGGCAGUGCAAGUCUGGAGUGAAAGGCGGGGGCUCAACCCCCGGACUGCUCCGGAAACUGUACGGCU
rnacentral:rRNA from 1 species